CUCCUACGGGAGGCAGCAGUGGGGAAUAUUGCACAAUGGGGGAAACCCUGAUGCAGCAACGCCGCGUGAGUGAAGAAGUAUUUCGGUAUGUAAAGCUCUAUCAGCAGGGAAGAAAAUGACGGUACCUGAGUAAGAAGCCCCGGCUAACUACGUGCCAGCAGCCGCGGUAAUACGUAGGGGGCAAGCGUUAUCCGGAUUUACUGGGUGUAAAGGGAGCGCAGACGGCAGGGCAAGUCUGGAGUGAAAGCCCGGGGCCCAACCCCGGGACAGCUUUGGACACUGCCAUGCUAGAGCGCUGGAGAGGG
rnacentral:rRNA from 1 species